GACGAACGCUGGCGGCGUGCCUAAUACAUGCAAGUAGAACGCAGUUGCGAACGGGUGAGUACCGCGUAGGUAACUGCCUCAUAGCGGGGGAUAACUAUUGGAAACGAUAGCUAAUACCGCAUACUGUGAGAUGGACCUGCGUUGUAUUAGCUAGUUGGUGAGGUAAAGUGUCACCAAGGCGACGGUACCUAGCCGACCUGAGAGGGUGAUCGGCCAAACUGGGACUGAGAAACGGCCCAGGCUCCGACGGGAGGCAGCAGUAGGGAAUCUUUGGAAAUGGACGGAAGGCGGACCGAGCAAAGACGGGGUAGUGAAGAAGGUUUUCGGAGCGGAAAGAGCUGUUGUUAGAGAAGCGGUAACGAACCAGAAAGGGACGGCUAACUACGUGCCAGCAGCCGCGGUAAUAC
rnacentral:rRNA from 1 species